rnacentral:lncRNA from 1 species
GCCCCACCCCGUGUGCUCGUCUGGAACCGCCCGUCCUACUUGCUGCCCCAUCGCGAGAGUCCUUCCUCUCCAGUUCGGUCCACCACCUGCCCCCAUGCUCGAUCCUCUGUGGAACCAGGAGCUGUCCCACACCUUAUAGAGGCAUACCUGGGAUGACGGACAAUGACUUGCCCGGGAUCACUUUGCCAAUUGGAAAGGAGGAAAAGUCCCACACCCGUGGCGCUGUCUCCGGAGGGUGCUGCGUCCAAGAGGCCCACCCGCAGGGAUGAGCCUGAGUGCGCGAAUCCAAGCACGAGAAGGGAGCUGGGAAUCUCCCGGUGGCUGGGGACCCCUGCUCCUUCUAGAGCCUCUGCCUCUAGGUCUUUAAUAAAGUAUAUACAAUGUGGCGAUCACAGGGCACGCCCUAAGAAACCUGCACACUAACCUCCCUCUCAGACACUGCUUCUGGAGAGCCCAACCUGUGACCGCUGGGUCAGGAGGGGUCUGAGGAAGAAGAUGCUAAGAUGGGAUUCUGGCUCUGGAUCACCCACUGCCUAGCUGCUGAUAAGGAUCCUUUUGCUGGGGGUAGAUGGAGCGGGUACAUGCCCCCGCACAGAGCAGAGGUACUAUUGUUCAAACUGUCACUGCUGGCAGAUGCAGAGGUGGAAGGGAAUGUACCAGCAAAUGAUGAAUGUGGGGGAGUCAGUCAUUGUCAGGAGAGUGGGACUGGAGUGGCUGCAGCUAAGCAGAGCCUGAUUAAUCAACAAUUUAAAGCUAAA